rnacentral:rRNA from 1 species
UACGUAGGGUGCGAGCGUUACUCGGAAUUACUGGGCGUAAAGCGUGCGCAGGCGGUUUUGUAAGCCAGAUGUGAAAUCCCCGGGCUUAACCUGGGAAUGGCAUUUGGGACUGCAAGGCUGGAGUGCGGCAGAGGAGACUGGAAUUCCUGGUGUAGCAGUGAAAUGCGUAGAUAUCAGGAGGAACACCGAUGGCGAAGGCAGGUCUCUGGGCUGACACUGACGCUCAUGCACGAAAGCGUGGGGAGCGAACAGG